ACUUAAAUAGUUUAAUUUAAAAUAUUGAUUUGUGGUGUCAAGGAUAUGUUGUGCAUUUUGAGUU
rnacentral:tRNA from 1 species